rnacentral:rRNA from 1 species
GACGAACGCUGGCGGCGUGCCUAAUACAUGCAAGUAGAACGCUGAAGCUUGGUGCUUGCACCGAGCGGAUGAGUUGCGAACGGGUGAGUAACGCGUAGGUAACCUGCCUGGUAGCGGGGGAUAACUAUUGGAAACGAUAGCUAAUACCGCAUAAGAGUAGAUGUUGCAUGACAUUUGCUUAAAAGGUGCAAUUGCAUCACUACCAGAUGGACCUGCGUUGUAUUAGCUAGUUGGUGAGGUAACGGCUCACCAAGGCAACGAUACAUAGCCGACCUGAGAGGGUGAUCGGCCACACUGGGACUGAGACACGGCCCAGACUCCUACGGGAGGCAGCAGUAGGGAAUCUUCGGCAAUGGACGGAAGGCUGAACGAGCAACGCCGCGUGAGGGAAGAAGGGUUUCGGAUCGUAAAGAUCUGUUGUAAGAGAAGAAAGAGUGUGAGAGUGGAAAGUUCACACUGUGACGGUAUCUUACCAGAAAGGGACGGCUAACUACGUG